GGGGUAAUAGUUAAUAUAUAACAUUUAAUUUGCAAUUAAAUAUUUUCAAUUAAUAAUUGAAGUAUCUCA
rnacentral:tRNA from 1 species